AAGUCGUAACAAGGUUUCCGUAGGUGAACCUGCGGAAGGAUCAUUAAAGAAUUUGAAUGAAAUGUAUAUGAACUUCAUGGGGGAUAUCUGGAGGUAGGUGGUAAGUUAUUACUGCUUGGUUUCAGAUUCCUUUGAAUUCAUUGCAUUUCUUUAUAUUCAUACACGCACUACAUGGGAGACUGUGUAGUGUUACUAUUUAGAAUCAUAUUUUGUAUAUCAUUAGUCUUUUAAUUUUUUCGAGUUUUUUAUUAAACUUGAUAAAUAAAACAAAUUAACAACUUUCAGCAACGGAUCUCUUGGCUCUC
rnacentral:misc_RNA from 1 species